CUAUGACUUAUAUUAAGUCAUGGCGAGAGGAG
rnacentral:ncRNA from 1 species